UACGUAGGUGGCAAGCGUUGUCCGGAAUUAUUGGGCGUAAAGCGCGCGCAGGCGGUCCUUUAAGUCUGAUGUGAAAGCCCACGGCUCAACCGUGGAGGGUCAUUGGAAACUGGGGGACUUGAGUGCAGAAGAGGAAAGCGGAAUUCCACGUGUAGCGGUGAAAUGCGUAGAGAUGUGGAGGAACACCAGUGGCGAAAGGCGGG
rnacentral:rRNA from 1 species